UUAUGGGCUCUCUAUCCUUGUAGGCAUUUGGUACUGCGCUAGACAAGAUCCUGCGCAGCCUGACCUGACUUUGAAGUUAACCAUGCCUUGAGAACCUGAUGGGACCAUAUGGCCUGCAAGAGACCUCCCAGCUGGAAUUAUUCUGGUUCUGAUGUGAACCAUUUGGGAAGCAACAAAAGGGAGUAACAGAAAAUUGUUAAACAUUGGGCCACCAAGAUGAUCAGAGGUCGGGAACAUCUUUCAUAUGAGGAAAGGCUGCAGGAACUGGGACCGUUUCAUCUAGAAAAGACUAAAAGACUAAGACUGAGGAGGGAUCUCAUUAAUAUUUACAAAUAUCUAAACGCUCAUAGUUUUUUAACAGCAGCAAUUCAGUGGAUGAUGGUCACAAAGUAUAGCCAGCAUCUUCUCCCUGGUGUCACUAAAGAGGCAGCAGCUGUAAGAUG